rnacentral:rRNA from 1 species
GCGAUAGCUGGUUACUCAAGAAAAGAAUUUUAGUUCUACUGAAAGUCCCCUCAAUUUUUAAAAAUAAACCUAAGGACUUUUAUGUUACCCAAGUAAGGUACAGCUUACUUGAGACAGGAUACAACCUCUACCACUGGGUAAGCAUUCUACAUGACAUAAAUCUGUAGGCCUAAAAGCAGCCAUCCCCUACAGCGUCAAAGCUUAUUUAUGUCCCAAAAUAAUAACUUGAUUUUCCCCGAGCCCCCCACCAGUACUGAGUAAUUUUAUGCCCACCAUAAAAUCUUCUAUGUUAAAACUAGUAACAAGAAGCUAGCCUUCUCUAAAAUGUAUGUGUAAGUCAGACCUGAACUCAGCACUGACCAUUAACAGCCUUAUACCAAAGAAGAAACUCUUCAAGCAAAAUCUUCUAUUUAACCUGUCAACCUAACACAAGCACAUCCCAAGAAAGAUUAAAAGAAAAUGAAGGAACUCGGCAAACCACGGCCCCGCCUGUUUACCAAAAACAUCGCCUCCUGAAAAAAUAUAAGAGGUCCAGCCUGCCCAGUGACUUGUUUAACGGCCGCGGUAUCCUAACCGUGCGAAGGUAGCGUAAUCACUUGUCUUUUAAAUAAAGNNUAGUAUGAAAGGCAUCACGAGGGCCAAACUGUCUCCUUUUUCUAAUCAGUAAAACUAAUCUUCCCGUGAAGAAGCGGGAAUUUCUCUAUAAGACGAGAAGACCCUAUGGAGCUUUAAACUGUAAGUUAUUCGCCUAUUUUCCCCCGAUUUCAGAAAUUUAAUACCCAAGGCCCAUUAACUAUACGUUUUAGGUUGGGGUGACCUAGGAGAAAAACAAACCCUCCUAGUUGAUACAGGCUAAACCCUGAGAAAAAAGCCACAACUUUACCACCAAUAAAUUGACAUCAAUUGACCCAGUCCGCUGAGCAACGAACCAAGUUACCCUAGGGAUAACAGCGCAAUCUACUUCAAGAGUCCCUAUCGACAAGUGGGUUUACGACCUCGAUGUUGGAUCAGGGUGUCCGAGUGGUGCAGCCGCUACUAAAGGUUCGUUUGUUCAACGAUUAAAACCCUACGUGAUCUGAGUUCA